rnacentral:rRNA from 1 species
CCUACGGGAGGCAGCAGUGAGGAAUAUUGGUCAAUGGACGAGAGUCUGAACCAGCAAAGUCGCGUGAAGGAUGACUGCCCUAUGGGUUGUAAACUUCUUUUAUAUGGGAAUAAAAUGCUCCACGUGUGGGAUUUUGUAUGUAACAUAUGAAUAAGGAUCGGCUAACUCCGUGACAGCAGCCGCGGUAAUACGGAGGAUCCGAGCGUUAUCCGGAGUUAUUGGGUUUAAAGGGAGCGUAGGUAGAUUGUUAAGUCAGUUGUGAAAGUUUGCUGCUCAACCGUAAAAUUGAAGUUGAAACUGGCAGUCGUGAGUACAGUAGAGGUGGGCGGAAUGCGUGGUGUAGCGGUGAAAUGCUUAGAUAUCACGAAGAACGCCGAUUGCGAAGGCAGCUCACUGGACUGCAACUGACACUGAGGCUCGAAAGUGUGGGUAUCAAACAGGAUUAGAUACCCGGGUAGUC